GACUCAUAAGCCUAAGACAUAACUAUCCACGGUCCCAAAUGAGUUGCUCAUCAUCCAAUGCAUGCCAAAUCCAACUUGGGCUUAGAGGCAUCUCUUCCUCAUCUCCUGUAGGCUGCUGUCACUUGCCUCCAUCAAGAACCCUAACCCUCAAUUGUUACUCCUUUCAAUUUGUGUUAUCAAUAGAAUAGGAAUAAUUAUUAUCUUACUCUUUCAGUUAUAUUAUUUGUCAACAGUUCCUGUUGCACUGGAAAAUUGAUUUUUAUCAUGCCUUAGUUUUAAAAAUUAUCAAUUGUCUAGCUUUUGACUUAACAUGCAUUGCGAGAAGUUUAACAAUUAAAAUUAAAUAAAUAAAUAAAUAAAAUUAUGACAUUCUAAUUUUUUAUUGUCUUAUCAUCAACAACUUGACAGUGCACUUUGACAUGCUUCAUCAUCUCAUGUAACUUGAAGUUUGCAGUAAUCGUGGGUGGAUAUCACAAAAAGAAUCCUCAUGGCUUUAAGUGUUCAUUCUUUCUGAGAAGGGGUCAGGGUUUUCUUGCUGCUAGAAGGGAUUUGGUUUCAGAAAGGAGGGCUAGUUAUGGAGAUGGGAAGACAAUGGUCAUUUAACUUGGAAAAUGCUUUGGAAUCUCACACAAAGGACAAGCAUAGUGCUAGAAAAUAAAUGGAUUUAAAGAGAGAGCUUCUUAUGAAUCCUGAUUGGAAAAUCUACGCUUAGUCUAUUAGGUACAUUUUUGUAACACUAACCUUUGUUGUCUAGUAACUUCUUAUAUUUGAAGCGUUAAUGUCAAUUUGGUAUGAAUAUAAUACGGUAUAAGGUUUUGCCAUUGGAUUGUCCAUUGAUCAUUGUAUUCACUCUGUCUAUUAAUAUGGCAAUUCCCUCAGUAGUACUCGUUCACUAUUUGCCAGUUUGAGAGAGGUGGAAUAUCUGGUGUGCUAUAUGCUCUACUACGUUCACUUGGGCCAGUUGUUACUAGAUUGCAUUCUAUGGAUUAAGGUUGCAAUCUUUUGAUUACGACAAUUUGUAGUUCACUAAA